AUCGGAGUGACUAAAUCUAGUCAUCAACUUCGACAAAGGAGAAAUCGCAUAGGAGAUCUCGUCAAGGAAUAUCGCAAAUCAGGUGAGCCUUGAUGUGGGGACUUGGGCCGGAGGGGAUUCAGAGUGGCCACGGUGAUCGUCUUGGGCUUUAAAUAAAGUGUUGGUUUCCGUUUAAUUUCCUUUAACUAUUAUUUAUUUUUGGGUUGUAAUAAGGCCAAUUUUAACUUUUCUUUU